AUAUAUAAAUUAACAUUAAUUUUUUUUAACAGGAAAUGCACAAUGCUAAAAACUGCGUAGGAGAUUUUAAUACAAUAGUACUACCAAGCCUGAUGUUGGCCGCUAUUUCAAUGAAUGCAGCAGUGUCACAGCUAGCAAUCAAAAGUAACAAGAUAUUGAGGAAAUGCAGAUGGCAAUAAACUGUGUAGGAGUUCAUGAUUGCAAUAGAAUAAAAUCGACCAAGCCUGAAGUCAGCAGCCCCUUCAAUGAAUGCAGCAGUGUGACAGCCAGCAAUCAAAAGUUACAAGAUAUCGAGGAAAUGCAGAUGGCAAUAAACUGUGUAGGAGUUUAUGAUUGCAAUAGAAUAAAAUCGACCAAGCCUGAAGUCAGCAGCCCCUUCAAUGAAUGCAGCAGUGUGACAGCCAACAAUCAAAAGUUACAAGAUAUCGAGGAAAUGCAGAAGGCAAAAAACUGCGUAGGAGAUCAUUAAUACAAUAGUAUUAUAUAAACCAAGCCUGAUGUUGGCCGCUCAUUCAAAGAAUGCAGCAGUGUGACAGCCAGCAAUCAAAAGUAACAAGAUGUCGAGGAAAUGCAGAAGGCAAAAAACUGCGUAGGAGAUUAUUAAUACAAUAGUAUUAUAUCAACCAAGCCUGAUGUCGGUAGCUUCUUCAAUGAAUGCAGCAGUGUGACAGCCAGCAAUCAAUAGUGAUAGUGACAAGAAUCUAGGAAAUACAGAAGGCAAAGAAGCAGAUGUCAUCAAAGAAGAUCUUUGUUCCUGCAAUGUUUCCGCAGACGAUACAUCCAACAGAGCGAAGUGGAAGGAAAAGACUCGGAAAAAAGACCCCACCACCAUAUGGGAACAAUGCAAGGGA
rnacentral:lncRNA from 1 species